CCUACGGGUGGCAGCAGUGAGGAAUAUUGGUCAAUGGGCGCGAGCCUGAACCAGCCAAGUAGCGUGAAGGAUGAAUGCCCUACGGGUUGUAAACUUCUUUUAUAAAGGAAUAAAGUGAUGCACGUGUGCCUUUUUGUAUGUACUUUAUGAAUAAGGAUCGGCUAACUCGGUGCCAGCAGCCGCGGUAAUACGGAGGAUCCGAGCGUUAUCCGGAUUUAUUGGGUUUAAAGGGAGCGUAGAUGGGUUGUUAAGUCAGUUGUGAAAGUUUGCGGCUCAACCGUAAAAUUGCAAUUGAUACUGGCAGUCUAGAGUACAGUUGAGGUAGGCAGAAUUCGUGGUGUAGCGGUGAAAUGCGUAGAGAUGACGAAGAACUCCGAUUGCGAAGGCAGCUUACUAAACUGCCACUGACAUUGAUGCGCGAAAGUGUGGGUAUCAAACAGGAUUAGAUACCCGGGUAGUC
rnacentral:rRNA from 1 species